CAUUUGGUUUUUGUAUCCAUAAAAUUGAUUUAAAUGGAGCUAAACAAAAUGAAAAUCCAAUUCUCAUUUAAAAGAAACAAAACAAUUUUGUUCUCAUCCUAUUUGGGCCAUCUUGCAAUUAACCUCAACUUUUGGGCCAUAUUGCAAUAACAAAAACUUUUGGGGUCACUUUGUAUAAUACACAAAAGUCACAACUUCAUGUAAAUACAACUAGAACCCAAACUUUUAAUAAUGCAAAAACUUCAUUAAAGGAUCAAAACAAUUUGUCCUUUAGCGUUUUUGGACCUAAACGUAAAAACGUAAACUUUUGGGCCAAAGUGCAAAUACACAAAAGUAUCAAAACUUUAUGUAAUUGCAUAAAAGCCCCAAAAGUACUCCCUUUGAGGGAGUGGCCUGUUUUAGGGAGAGGAUAAGAGUGGUGUGUGUGUUGAUUUGUAAGUUUUGUCAAAAAACAUGCAAGUGUAUGUAAAAGGAUAUGUUUAUGAAAUAAAUCAAUCAUUAUUAUUUCAAUCAUCAUUUAUACAAAUAAUUAACACUUUAAAUACAUGAUAAAUCAUUUAAAAACAUAUCACAUAUACUUUAUGAAAUAAAUCAAAACUUUGAAUCAAAACACCAAACCUUUUUGUUCUUGGCAAGAACAUCAAGAACAAUGAAGAACAUCCAUGAAAAACCCAAAUUUUUCCAUGAACUUUUUCCACCCAAAAACAUUCCAAAAA
rnacentral:lncRNA from 1 species